rnacentral:rRNA from 1 species
GACGAACGCUGGCGGCGUGCCUAAUACAUGCAAGUAGAACGCUGAAGGAGGAGCUUGCUCUUCUGGAUGAGUUGCGAACGGGUGAGUAACGCGUAGGUAACCUGCCUGGUAGCGGGGGAUAACUAUUGGAAACGAUAGCUAAUACCGCAUAACAGUAGAUGUUGCAUGACAUUUACUUAAAAGGUGCAAUUGCAUCACUACCAGAUGGACCUGCGUUGUAUUGGCUAGUUGGUGGGGUAACGGCUCACCAAGGCGACGAUACAUAGCCGACCUGAGAGGGUGAUCGGCCACACUGGGACUGAGACACGGCCCAGACUCCUACGGGAGGCAGCAGUAGGGAAUCUUCGGCAAUGGACGGAAGUCUGACCGAGCAACGCCGCGUGAGUGAAGAAGGUUUUCGGAUCGUAAAGCUCUGUUGUAAGAGAAGAACGAGUGUGAGAGUGGAAAGUUCACACUGUGACGGUAUCUUACCAGAAAGGGACGGCUAACUACGUG